UCCUCCCCCGAACCUCAUUAUUUGGUGAAUUUUGUGGAUGUUGGGAUGACAAUAACAUCUUGUGCCACAAUUACUUGAUCUGCCUUUAGAUUUGCUGCAACAAACUUUUAAGGGAAUUUGGCCCAACUUAAUAUUAAAUACACAUUCCCAAAAGAACGAUUAUUUUUUAAAAUUUAUAUUAAAUCUCAAGGGCAGCGAAACUCGCUUUUGUCUUUUCAUGUGCAUAUUUAAUCCACCGCUAAGUACUUAUCUAAUAUUUCAAGAUAUCUCUUUAAUUAACUCCUUCGAGAUGCCAGGCUUCCUCAAAUCACAAC
rnacentral:lncRNA from 1 species